GGGGGGCCAGGAGGUCCAGGGAGACCAGGUCGGCCAGGUUGACCAUCUCUGCCAGGUGGACCAGCAGGACCCUGAGAAAAAAGGAAGCAGAAACGCAUCCACAGUCAUAUGGAUUAGCAUAUCCAUCAGCCAAAAUGAUCUUGUGACCAACCAAAAAUGGAUUGGCAGUCGCCACGUGACACGGGAUGUUGAUGCUCCUUGUUUCCCAGAAUGCUGUCGUCCAAACACGAUGCAUUAAUGCAGAAGAACAACAGCUUUUAUGAAACUUUUCACUCCUGAAAUGUUCUGAUGUUCGCAAAGAACAACAAAUAGAGAGAGCAACGUCAAGCCGAAUGUGGAAGCCGCCCUGGAAUUGACCCUGUCCUCACAUCUGAGGCCUGUUUUUACUUCAGCCUGGACGCAUUCUGCUGCCUCAAAUGCAGCAAAAGAUCUGCAGGAUCGGCUCAGAUCCAAUCAAAUCCAAAGAAGGAAAGAGCUGGACCUACCCGUUCUCCUUUGGGCCCACGUGGACCUUUGGCUCCCUGUGGUUAAAAGAACGAAUAUCAGCUUCAUCAUGACACCACUAAUCGUGCAAAAGAUGAUUGCUUGUUUUAUACGAAGCACCAUAAUCAUUGAGUGGCUCUAUUAACUGACACAACUGAGAGAGCCAUAACAAAAGUAUAGAUGGGUGAAAAAAAUAAUGCU